GACGAACGCUGGCGGCGUGCUUAACACAUGCAAGUCGAACGGACAGGCCCUGCUUUUGUGGGGUGCUCGAGUGGCGAACGGGUGAGUAACACGUGAGUAACCUGCCCUUGUCUUUGGGAUAACUUCAGGAAACUGGGGCUAAUACCGGAUAGGAGCUCCUGCUGCAUGGUGGGGGUUGGAAAGUUUCGGCGGUUGGGGAUGGACUCGCGGCUUAUCAGCUUGUUGGUGGGGUAGUGGCUUACCAAGGCUUUGACGGGUAGCCGGCCUGAGAGGGUGACCGGCCACAAUGGGACUGAGAUACGGCCCAGACGCCUACGGGAGGCAGCAGGCGGGAAUAUGGCACAGUGGGCGGAAGCCUGAUGCAGCAACGCCGCGUGCGGGAUGACGGCCUUCGGGUGGUAAACCGCUGUCGCCUGUGACGAAGCGUGAGUGACGGUAAUGGGUAAAGAAGCACCGGCUAACUACGUG
rnacentral:rRNA from 1 species